rnacentral:rRNA from 1 species
AUGUGUCGUCAACCGUCGACAAUUCAGCUGUCUCCAAAUGAGCAACUUGCUAAUGAAGAAACCUUCAAGUUGCACUGCAAGCCAGUUGAGCUCUGCAUUGUUAUCCGAAAACGAGCCAUUGAUAAUCCAGCUUUUCUACAAAGAUGCCUCCGUUACAUGAUACAGGCAAGCCACAAAAAGAGGAAUACAAGGGUGGGGUGUCUUGACUGCUGCUUGCCGGUUCUUUCCUCAGCAAGCGGGCGACUCGAUGUGAUCAUGGGCAAUGGCCACAGUUGGCCGUCGGCCGUGCUCACCCCUGCUUCAUCCACCUACUCCUCGAGAACUCCACUGGCCUCCCGUGUGUGCACGGUCGAAGGCUGGUGGCCCAGCUCGCCGGCGGGUCGGUGA